rnacentral:rRNA from 1 species
GACGGAGGAUGCAAGCGUUAUCCGGAAUGAUUGGGCGUAAAGCGUCCGCAGGUGGCAGUUCAAGUCUGCUGUCAAAGACCGGGGCUUAACUUCGGAAAGGCGGUGGAAACUGAAGCGCUAGAGUGCGGUAGGGGUAGAGGGAAUUCCCGGUGUAGCGGUGAAAUGCGUAGAGAUCGGGAAGAACAUCGGUGGCGAAAGCGCUCUACUGGACCGCAACUGACACUCAGGGACGAAAGCUAGGGGAGCGAAUGGG